GGUUCUUUGACCGAGUGGUCGAUGGUGACGGCCUGUUAAGCCGUUGGGAGGAAUCUCCCCACCGAAGGUUCGAAUCCUUCAGGAACCG
rnacentral:tRNA from 1 species